CCUACGGGAGGCAGCAGUGAGGAAUAUUGGUCAAUGGGCGAGAGCCUGAACCAGCCAAGUCGCGUGAAGGAUGACGGCCCUACGGGUUGUAAACUUCUUUUGUCAGGGAGCAAUUGGGUCCACGCGUGGGCUUAGCAAGAGUACCUGAAGAAAAAGAAUCGGCUAACUCCGUGCCAGCGGCCGCGGUAAUACGGAGGAUGCGAGCGUUAUCCGGAUUUAUUGGGUUUAAAGGGUGCGUAGGCGGAAUAUCAAGUCAGCGGUAAAAAUUCGGGGCUCAACCCCGUCGUGCCGUUGAAAAUGAUGUUCUGGAGUGGGCGAGAAGUAUGCGGAAUGCGUGGUGUAGCGGUGAAAUGCAUAGAUAUCACGCAGAACUCCGAUUGCGAAGGCAGCAUACCGGCGCCCAACUGACGUUGAGGCUCGAAAGCGUGGGGAGCAAACAGGAUUAGAUACCCCAGUAGUC
rnacentral:rRNA from 1 species